rnacentral:rRNA from 1 species
UACAGAGGUCUCAAGCGUUGUUCGGAUUCAUUGGGCGUAAAGGGUGCGUAGGCGGCGCGGGAAGUCGGGUGUGAAAUCUCGGAGCUUAACUCCGAAACUGCAUUCGAUACUGCCGUGCUUGAGGACUGGAGAGAAGACUGGAAUUUACGGUGUAGCGGUGAAAUGCGCAGAUAUCAGGAAGAACACCCGGUGGCGAAGGCGGCUCUCGUGGGACGGUACUGACGCUGAGACGCGAAAGCGUGGGGGAGCGAACAGG